ACCAUCUGCAACAUGAACCAAAUCAAGAAGGCGGAAGCUGAAAGGAUCCUACAGGAACAUAACGCCAUGGAAAAGCAACUAUUGAGUGACUACUGUAACUAUAAUGACACUGUGGUCGGACCAGAGAAAGCAGCCCCUGGGUGGGACGUCGUCCAAAAUUUUCUCAUCAAAGUGGGACAAUCUUGUUCCGACACCAUCAAAACGUGCUUUUGGCAAAG